rnacentral:tRNA from 1 species
GGGUCGUUAGCUCAGUUAGAGCAGUUGACUUUUAAUCAAUUGGUCGCAGGUUCGAAUCCUGCACGACCCACCA